AACGAACGCUGGCGGCGUGCUUAACACAUGCAAGUCGAACGCGAAAGGGACUUCGGUCCUGAGUAAAGUGGCGCACGGGUGAGUAACGCGUAGAUAACCUGUCUUCACGUCUGGAAUAAUACGCCGAAAGGGGUACUAAUACCGGAUAUUCUUGCUUUUCAUAAGUUUUGCAAGGAAAGGUGGCCUCUGAAUAUGCUACUGCGCGAAGAGGGGUCUGCGUACCAUUAGCUAGUAGGUGGGGUAAUGGCCUACCUAGGCUACGAUGGUUAGCGGGUCUGCGAGGAUGAUCCGCCACCAUGGGACUGGAACACGGGCCAGACUCCUACGGGAGGCAGCAGUGAGGAAUAUUGCGCAAUGGGGGAAACCCUGACGCAGCGACGCCGCGUGAGUGAGGAAGGCCUUCGGGUCGUAAAGCUCUGUCAAAGGGAAAGAAGUGCAUGAUGGCUAAUACCUGUCAUGUUUGACGGUACCUUUAAAGGAAGCACCGGCUAACUCCGUGCCAGCCGCCGCCGUAAUAC
rnacentral:rRNA from 1 species